GACGAACGCUGGCGGCGUGCCUAAUACAUGCAAGUAGGACGCAGUUGCGAACGGGUGAGUAACGCGUAGGUAACUACCUAUUAGAGGGGGAUAACUACUGGAAACGAUAGCUAAUACCGCAUACUAGUAGAUGGACCUGCGUUGUAUUAGCUAGUAUGUUGGUUAAUGGCCUACCUAGGCAACGAUACAUAGCCGACAUGAUAGGAGGAUCGGACACACUGGGACGGGGAAACGGCCCAGACUCCAACGGGAGGCAGCAGUAGGGAAUCUUCGGCAAUGGGGGGAACCCUGACCGAGCAACGCCGCGUGAGUGAAGAAGGUUUUCGGAUCGUAAAGCUCUGUUGUUAAGGAAGCGGUACUUAACCAGAAAGGGACGGCUAACUACGUGCCAGCAGCCGCGGUAAUUC
rnacentral:rRNA from 1 species